UACAGAGGUGGCAAGCGUUGUUCGGAAUUACUGGGCGUAAAGGGCGCGUAGGCGGCCUUCUAAGUCGGACGUGAAAUCCCCAGGCUUAACUUGGGAACUGCGUCUGAUACUGGAAGGCUUGAGUGCGGGAGAGGGAUGUGGAAUUCCAGGUGUAGCGGUGAAAUGCGUAGAUAUCUGGAGGAACACCGGUGGUGAAGGCGGCAUCCUGGACCGACACUGACGCUGAGGCGCGAAAGCCAGGGGAGCAAACGGG
rnacentral:rRNA from 1 species